rnacentral:rRNA from 1 species
UACAGAGGUGGCAAGCGUUGUUCGGAAUUACUGGGCGUAAAGGGCGCGUAGGCGGUCCGAUAAGUCCCGUGUGAAAUCCCACGGCUCAACCGUGGAAGUGCAUGGGAAACUGCAGAGCUUGAGUACUUAAGAGGAUCGCGGAAUUCCCGGUGUAGAGGUGAAAAUUCGUAGAUAUCGGGAGGAACACCAGUGGCGAAGGCGGCGAUCUGGGAAGAUACUGACGCUGAGGUGCGAAAAGCGUGGGGGAGCAAAACAGG